CCUACGGGAGGCUGCAGUGGGGAAUAGUGGACAAUGGGGGCAACCCUGAUCCAGCCAUGCCGCGUGUGUGAAGAAGGCCCUCGGGUUGUAAAGCACUUUCAGUGAGGAAGAACGCCUGGUGGUUAAUACCCAUCAGGAAAGACAUCACUCACAGAAGAAGCACCGGCUAACUCCGUGCCAGCAGCCGCGGUAAUACGUAGGGUGCGAGCGUUAAUCGGAAUUACUGGGCGUAAAGCGCGCGUAGGUGGCUUGAUAAGCCGGUUGUGAAAGCCCCGGGCUCAACCUGGGAACGGCAUCCGGAACUGUCAAGCUAGAGUGCAGGAGAGGAAGGUAGAAUUCCCGGUGUAGCGGUGAAAUGCGUAGAGAUCGGGAGGAAUACCAGUGGCGAAGGCGGCCUUCUGGACUGACACUGACACUGAGGUGCGAAAGCGUGGGUAGCAAACAGGAUUAGAUACCCUAGUAGUA
rnacentral:rRNA from 1 species